GCCCUAUUAGAGCAGUGGUUUAGCUCGCUGGUCUCCGGAGCCAGAUGUCGCGGGUUCGAAUCUCGCAUAGGGUU